rnacentral:sRNA from 1 species
AAACAGCCCCGAUAGCGUGGAAAUCCUUUUAUUUUUUUUUCGUCAAAAAAUAAAAGAUUGGAACAAAAGCGGGAAUUCUG